GCCCAAGAACUAAGCCUUUUCUCAAUAGCACUCACUCAGCAGACAGCAAGCAGCCAAGCACAAAGUCACAACUCACAAAUCUGCCAUCGGGUUCUCAACUUCUCAUUUCUCAAUCUGAAUCUCAGAUUUUCAAACGGGAAAAUCCACCAUUUUUGCUAUCCAUUUCUCUUCCAGCACACUAAUUGACUAAUACCCAGAGGCCAGGUUUAAUGCAAAUGGAGAUUUUUGGAGAGAAGAAAUGGAUAUAAUAUAAAUAGAGAAUGUUAAAGACUUACAUUUCAAUUAUGUGUUAAUUUCAAGACUUAUGUAAUGCUUUUAAUUAUGUAGUGAUUCAAAGACUUAUGUAAUGUUUUUAAUUAUGUAGUGAUUCAAAGACUUAUGUAAUGUUUUUAGUUAUGUAGUGAUUCAAAGACUUAUGUAAUUUUUUUAAUUAUGUAGUGAUUCAAAGACUUAUGUAAUUUUUUUAAUUA